GUAAGGAAUAUUGGACAAUGGACGCAAGUCUGAUCCAGCCAUGCCGCGUGAAGGAUUAAGGUCCUCUGGAUUGUAAACUUCUUUUAUAAGGGACGAAAAAAGGCUUUUCUAAGUCGUCUGACGGUACCUUAUGAAUAAGCACCGGCUAACUCCGUGCCAGCAGCCGCGGUAAUACGGAGGGUGCAAGCGUUAUCCGGAUUCACUGGGUUUAAAGGGUGCGUAGGCGGUCAGGUAAGUCAGUGGUGAAAUCCUAGAGCUUAACUCUAGAACUGCCAUUGAUACUAUCUGUCUUGAAUAUUGUGGAGGUAAGCGGAAUAUGUCAUGUAGCGGUGAAAUGCUUAGAUAUGGCAUAGAACACCUAUUGCGAAGGCAGCUUACUACGCAUAUAUUGACGCUGAGGCACGAAAGCGUGGGGAUCAAACAGGAUUAGAAACCCGAGUAGUCC
rnacentral:rRNA from 1 species